rnacentral:rRNA from 1 species
AUUGAACGCUGGCGGCAGGCCUAACACAUGCAAGUCGAACGAGUGGCGGACGGGUGAGUAAUGUCUGGGAAACUGCCUGAUGGAGGGGGAUAACUACUGGAAACGGUAGCUAAUACCGCAUACCAUCAGAUGUGCCCAGAUGGGAUUAGCUUGUUGGUGGGGUAACGGCUCACCAAGGCGACGAUCCCUAGCUGGUCUGAGAGGAUGACCCGCCACACUGGAACUGAUACACGUCCCACCCCCCUCCGUGAGCCAGCAGUGGGGAUUAUUGCCCAUUGGGCGCAAGCCUGUUGCCGCCCUGCCGCGUGUAUGAAGAAGGCCUUCGGUUUGUAAAUUCCUUUCAGCGGGGAGGCGUUACCCGCAGAAGAACCACCGGCUAACUCCGUGCCAGCAGCCGCGGUAAUA